rnacentral:lncRNA from 1 species
CCCCGCCCCCAACCUCCGCCUGGCCCCCGACAACCGCUCGGUGGCCGUGGCCGGCGCCGCCGCCGUCAACCGGGGCCUCUACACCUGCACGGCCACCAACAGGCACGGCCGGCGAGCCGGCAGCGUGGUGGUCCACGUGGACGAGAGUCGGUUGGCCCUGGUGGCCUCAUUGGGCUCCUUGGGGGCCGUGACAGCAGUGGGUUUGGUGGCCGCCGGGGGUUACUACCUGAAGACCACGGCGUGUAAGAAGGGGGAGUACAACGUGCGCGACGCCGAAGGGUCUUCCGAAGCCACCUGUCUCCACCGGCACCGCCACCCCGACGUCUUCGGCAUCCAGCUCACCCAGCCCUGAACUGGGAAGGGGUCCCCCUUUAUCCCCCAAACCCAACUGGAACAGAGGUUUUGGGGGAUCCUCAUCUCCCAAAUGCAACUGGGAUGGAGGUUUUGGGGAUCCCCAUCUCCCAAAUGCAACUGGGAUGGAGGUUUCAGGGGACCCCCCUAUUCCCCAAACCAACUGGGAUGGAGGUUUCUGGGGAUCCCCUCCAACCCUCUAUCUCCCAAACGCAACUGGGAUGGAGGUUUUGGGGGAUCCCCUCCAACCCUCCAUCUCCCAAACCCAACUGGGAUGGAGGUUUUGGGGAUCCCCCCCAUUCCCCAAACCAACUGGGAUGGAGGUUUCGGGGGAUCCCCUCCAACCCUCCAUCCCCUGACCCCAACUCCGAUGGAGGUUUUGGGGAUCCCCUCCAUCCCCUGAACCCAACUGGGAUGGAGGUUUUGGGGGAUCCCCCCAUUCCCCAAACCCAACUGGGAUGGAGGUUUUGGGGAAUCCUUCCCCCCAUCCCGGCCGCAGUGGGGGUUUUGGGGUUUUUUUAGGGGUGUUUUUUGGGUUUUUUUAAGUGUUUCGGUGCCGUGCCGGGGGCGGCGCGGCUGUAACUCAGGGGGGGGCGCUUGGGGAGGGGGGGUCACGGCCACCGGCUCUUCCCGAGGGACAAAGCAACGCCCAAAAAAUAAUAAAUUAAUCCGUUUUAAUGAGAGGNNNNNNNNN